GAUGAACGCUGGCGGCGUGCCUAAUACAUGCAAGUCGAGCGAACAGACGAGGAGCUUGCUCCUCUGACGUUAGCGGCGGACGGGUGAGUAACACGUGGAUAACCUACCUAUAAGACUGGGAUAACUUCGGGAAACCGGAGCUAAUACCGGAUAAUAUAUUGAACCGCAUGGUUCAAUAGUGAAAGACGGUUUUGCUGUCACUUAUAGAUGGAUCCGCGCCGCAUUAGCUAGUUGGUAAGGUAACGGCUUACCAAGGCAACGAUGCGUAGCCGACCUGAGAGAGUGAUCGGCCACACUGGAACUGAGACACGGUCCAGACUCCUACGGGAGGCAGCAGUAGGGAAUCUUCCGCAAUGGGCGAAAGCCUGACGGAGCAACGCCGCGUGAGUGAUGAAGAUCUUCGGAUCGUAAAACUCUGUUAUUAGGGAAGAACAAAUGUGUAAGUAACUAUGCACGUCUUGACGGUACCUAAUCAGAAAGCCACGGCUAACUACGUG
rnacentral:rRNA from 1 species